rfam:Schistosoma margrebowiei strain Zambia genome assembly, scaffold: SMRZ_scaffold0000932
AUCCAAUUGACGAGUCUCAAAUAGGACAAAACACGCAUCCUGGAU